GAUGAACGCUGGCGGCGUGCCUAAUACAUGCAAGUCGAGCGAACAGACGAGAAGCUUGCUUCUCUGACGUUAGCGGCGGACGGGUGAGUAACACGUGGAUAACCUACCUAUAAGACUGGGAUAACUUCGGGAAACCGGAGCUAAUACCGGAUAAUAUUUUGAACCGCAUGGUUCAAAAGUGAAAGACGGUCUUGCUGUCACUUAUAGAUGGAUCCGCGCUGCAUUAGCUAGUUGGUAAGGUAACGGCUUACCAAGGCAACGAUGCAUAGCCGACCUGAGAGGGUGAUCGGCCACACUGGAACUGAGACACGGUCCAGACUCCUACGGGAGGCAGCAGUAGGGAAUCUUCCGCAAUGGGCGAAAGCCUGACGGAGCAACGCCGCGUGAGUGAUGAAGGUCUUCGGAUCGUAAAACUCUGUUAUUAGGGAAGAACAUAUGUGUAAGUAACUGUGCACAUCUUGACGGUACCUAAUCAGAAAGCCACGGCUAACUACGUG
rnacentral:rRNA from 1 species